CUUCCGUAGGGGGGACCUGCGGAGGGAUCAUUACACAAAUAUGAAGGCGGGCUGGAACCUCUCGGGGUUACAGCCUUGCUGAAUUAUUCACCCUUGUCUUUUGCGUACUUCUUGUUUCCUUGGUGGGUUCGCCCACCACUAGGACAAACAUAAACCUUUUGUAAUUGCAAUCAGCGUCAGUAACAAAUUAAUAAUUACAACUUUCAACAACGGAUCUCUUGGUUCUGGCAUCGAUGAAGAACGCAGCGAAAUGCGAUAAGUAGUGUGAAUUGCAGAAUUCAGUGAAUCAUCGAAUCUUUGAACGCACAUUGCGCCCUUUGGUAUUCCAAAGGGCAUGCCUGUUCGAGCGUCAUUUGUACCCUCAAGCUUUGCUUGGUGUUGGGCGUCUUGUCUCUAGCUUUGCUGGAGACUCGCCUUAAAGUAAUUGGCAGCCGGCCUACUGGUUUCGGAGCGCAGCACAAGUCGCACUCUCUAUCAGCAAAGGUCUAGCAUCCAUUAAGCCUUUUUUCAACUUUGACCUCGGAUCAGUAGGAACCCGGUUCUA
rnacentral:rRNA from 1 species